GUGCUCGUUUCAGCAGCACAUAUACUAAAACUGGAACGAUACAGAGAAGAUUAGCAUGGCCCCUGCACAAGGAUGACAAGAAAAUUCGUGAAGCGUUCCAUUUUUUU
rnacentral:snRNA from 1 species